CUUUACUGCAACUUGACGUUGGAACUUGGCUGUAUUUGUGUAGGAUAGGUGGGAGACUUUGAAGCAGGGCCGCCAGGUCUUGCGGAGUCGUCGUUGAAAUACCACCCUGGUGCUGACGAGUUUCUAACCGUGUCGUAAGCCGGACAUGAGACAGCGUCUGGUGGGCAGUUUGACUGGGGCGGUCGCCUCCUAAAAGGUAACGGAGGCAUUCAAAGGUCCCCUCAGCGUGGUCGGUAAUCACGCGCAGAGUGCAAACGCAUAAGGGGGCUUAACUGCGAGACCGACAGGUCGAGCAGGUACGAAAGUAGGAGUUAGUGAUCCCGCGGUUUAGCGUGGAAUUGCCGUUGCUCAAUGGAUAAAAGGUA
rnacentral:rRNA from 1 species